rnacentral:rRNA from 1 species
UACGUAGGGUGCGAGCGUUAAUCGGAAUUACUGGGCGUAAAGGGUGCGCAGGCGGCUAUAUAAGUUAGAUGUGAAAUCCCUAAGCUUAACUUAGGAAUGGCAUUUGAUACUGUAUAGCUAGAGUUUAUCAGAGGGAGGUAGAAUUCCAAGUGUAGCAGUGAAAUGCGUAGAUAUUUGGAGGAAUACCGGUGGCGAAGGCGGCCUUCUGGGAUAAAACUGACGCUCAGGCACGAAAGCGUGGGUAGCAAACAGG